AUUGAACGCUGGCGGCAUGCCUUACACAUGCAAGUCGAACGGUAACAGGUCUUCGGAUGCUGACGAGUGGCGAACGGGUGAGUAAUACAUCGGAACGUGCCCGAUCGUGGGGGAUAACGAAGCGAAAGCUUUGCUAAUACCGCAUAAGAUCUACGGAUGAAAGCAGGGGACCGCAAGGCCUUGUGCGAACGGAGCGGCCGAUGGCAGAUUAGGUAGUUGGUGGGAUAAAAGCUUACCAAGCCGACGAUCUGUAGCUGGUCUGAGAGGACGACCAGCCACACUGGGACUGAGACACGGCCCAGACUCCUACGGGAGGCAGCAGUGGGGAAUUUUGGACAAUGGGCGAAAGCCUGAUCCAGCCAUGCCGCGUGCAGGAUGAAGGCCUUCGGGUUGUAAACUGCUUUUGUACGGAACGAAAAGACUCUGGUUAAUACCUGGGGUCCAUGACGGUACCGUAAGAAUAAGCACCGGCUAACUACGUG
rnacentral:rRNA from 1 species